rnacentral:rRNA from 1 species
UACAGAGGGUGCGAGCGUUAAUCGGAAUUACUGGGCGUAAAGCGUGCGUAGACGGUUACAUAAGUCGGGUGUGAAAGCCCCCGGCUCAACCGGGGAGGGUGGCUGGAAACUGGCGUUCUUGAGGGCGAGAGAGGAGGGUGGAAUUCCUGGUGUAGCGGUGAAAUGCGUAGAGAUCAGGAGGAACACCCGGGGCGAAGGCGGCCCUCUGGCUCGACCCUGACGCUGAGGCGCGAAAGCGUGGGGAGCGAACGGG